CGCCCCACCGUAAAAUUUAUACUUACAUCAACAAACGCCCGGGUAUUACGAGCAUCAGCUUAAAACCCAAAGGACUUGACGGUGUCCCACCCAACUAGAGGAGCCUGUUCUAUAAUCGAUAACCCCCGAUAUACCCUACCCCCCCUCGCCAAUCAGCCUGUAUACCUCCGUCGCAAACUUACCAUAUGAAUGCCAAUAGUAAGUUAAAUAGUUCAUAACAAACACGUCAGGUCAAAGUGCAGCUCAUGAUGGGGAAAGCAAUGGGCUACAAUUUCUAAAAUAGAACAUACGAAAUGCUGCAUGAAACACAGCCACGAAGGCGGAUUUAGUAGUAAAAAGCGAUCAUAGAGCCCUUUUUAAUAAGGCCCUGGGACGUGUACACACCGCCCGUCACCCUCUGCAGUAAA
rnacentral:rRNA from 1 species